AGCAUUCUCUACUGCCUACACUAACACU
rnacentral:piRNA from 1 species